rnacentral:rRNA from 1 species
CUCAGGGAGGUAGAGACAAGAAAUAACAACACUGGAAAUUUUAUUUCUAGUGAUUGGAAUGAUGGGAAUUUAAACCCCUUUCAGAGUAACAAUUGGAGGGCAAGUCUGGUGCCAGCAGCCGCGGUAAUUCCAGCUCCAAUAGCGUAUAUUAAAGUUGUUGCAGUUAAAAAGCUCGUAGUUGGAUGUCUGCUGGAAGCAAUCAGUCCGCCCUAUUUGUAGGGUGUGCACUUGAUGAAUUCUGGCAUUUUUGUCCCAAUGAUGUAACGGAGCGGUGGUAUUCGGUGAAAGCCGAGUAUCCCGUUUUCCGAUUAUUGGGAUACUGUUACUUUGAGAAAAUUAGAGUGUUUGAAGCAGGCUAAUUGCCUUGAAUACUGCAGCAUGGAAUAACAAUAUAGGAUUUCGGUUCUAUUUUGUUGGUUUCUAGGACUGGAAUAAUGAUUAAUAGGGACAGUUGGGGGCGUUCGUAUUUAACUGUCAGAGGUGAAAUUCUUAGAUUUGUUAAAGACGAACUACUGCGAAAGCAUUUGCCAAAGAUGUUUUCAUUAAUCAAGAACGAAAGUUAGGGGCUCGAAGACGAUCAGAUACCGUCGUAGUCUUAACCAUAAACUAUGCCGACUAGAGAUAGGAAAAUGUCAUUCUGCUGACUU